AGUGAACGCUGGCGGUAGGCCUAACACAUGCAAGUCGAACGGCAGCACAGUAAGAGCUUGCUCUUACGGGUGGCGAGUGGCGGACGGGUGAGGAAUACAUCGGAAUCUACUUUUUCGUGGGGGAUAACGUAGGGAAACUUACGCUAAUACCGCAUACGACCUACGGGUGAAAGCAGGGGAUCUUCGGACCUUGCGCGAUUGAAUGAGCCGAUGUCGGAUUAGCUAGUUGGCGGGGUAAAGGCCCACCAAGGCAACGAUCCGUAGCUGGUCUGAGAGGAUGAUAGGCCACACUGGAACUGAGACACGGUCCAGACUACUACGGGAGGCAGCAGUAGGGAAUCUUCCGCAAUGGGCGAAAGCCUGACGGAGCAACGCCGCGUGAAUGAUGAAGGUCUUCGGAUCGUAAAACUCUGUUAUUAGGGAAGAACAAAUGUGUAAGUAACUAUGCACGUCUUGACGGUAACUAAUCAGAAAGCCACGGCUAACUACGUG
rnacentral:rRNA from 1 species